AGCAGCCGCGGUAAUUCCAGCUCCAAUAGCGUAUAUUAAAGUUGUUGCAGUUAAAAAGCUCGUAGUUGAAUUUCGGGAUCAAUGUUUCGGUCAUGCCGUUGGUAUGUACUGAUAUUAUUGGUUUCUCACCUUCUAAAGAACCGUAAUGCCAUUAAUUUGGUGUCACGGGGAAUUAGGACUGUUACCUUGAAAAAAUUAGAGUGUUUAAAGCAGGCUCACGCUUGAAUACAUUAGCAUGGAAUAAUGAAAUAGGACAUCCGAUUCUAUUUUGUUGGUUUCUAGGAUCGAUGUAAUGAUUAAUAGGGAUAGUUGGGGGCAUUAGUAUUCAAUUGUCAGAGGUGAAAUUCUUGGAUUUAUUGAAGACUAACUACUGCGAAAGCAUUUGCCAAGGAUGUUUUCAUUAAUCAAGAACGAAAGUUAGGGGAUCGAAGACGAUCAGAUACCGUCGUA
rnacentral:rRNA from 1 species